CUGAGCGGCGGACGGGUGAGUAACGCGUGGGUAACCUGCCUCAUACAGGGGGAUAACAGUUAGAAAUGACUGCUAAUACCGCAUAAGACCACAGCACCGCAUGGUGCAGGGGUAAAAACUCCGGUGGUAUGAGAUGGACCCGCGUCUGAUUAGUUAGUUGGUGGGGUAACGGCCUACCAAGGCGACGAUCAGUAGCCGACCUGAGAGGGUGACCGGCCACAUUGGGACUGAGACACGGCCCAAACUCCUACGGGAGGAGCAUG
rnacentral:rRNA from 1 species